rnacentral:rRNA from 1 species
AGUGAACGCUGGCGGUAGGCCUAACACAUGCAAGUCGAACGGCAGCACAGUAAGAGCUUGCUCUUACGGGUGGCGAGUGGCAGACGGGUGAGGAAUACAUCGGAAUCUACUUUUUCGUGGGGGAUAACGUAGGGAAACUUACGCUAAUACCGCAUACGACCUACGGGUGAAAGCAGGGGAUCUUCGGACCUUGCGCGAUUGAAUGAGCCGAUGUCGGAUUAGCUAGUUGGCGGGGUAAAGGCCCACCAAGGCGACGAUCCGUAGCUGGUCUGAGAGGAUGAUCAGCCACACUGGAACUGAGACACGGUCCAGACUCCUACGGGAGGCAGCAGUGGGGAAUAUUGGACAAGGGGCGCAAGCCUGAUCCAGCCAUACCGCGUGGGUGAAGAAGGACUUCGGGUUGUAAAGCCCUUUUGUUGGGAAAGAAAAGCAGCAGGUUAAUACCCCGCUGUUCUGACGGUACCCAAAGAAUAAGCACCGGCUAACUUCGUG